rnacentral:rRNA from 1 species
GGACUGUAGUCUGCAACCCGACUACACGAAGCCGGAAUCGCUAGUAAUCGCGAAUCAGAAUGUCGCGGUGAAUACGUUCCCGGGUCUUGUACACACCGCCCGUCACACCAUGGGAGUCGGAAAUGCCCGAAGUCAGUGACCCAACCGCAAGGAGGGAGCUGCCGAAGGCAGGUCGGAUGACUGGGGUGAAGUCGUAACAAGGUACC